rnacentral:rRNA from 1 species
GACGAACGCUGGCGGCGUGCUUAACACAUGCAAGUCGAACGAUGAUGCUGGAGCUUGCUCCAGUUGAUUAGUGGCGAACGGGUGAGUAACACGUGAGCAAUCUGCCCUUGACUCUGGGAUAACUGCGGGAAACUGUAGCUAAUACCGGAUACUUUCACCGGGGGGCAUCCUCUGGUGAUGAAAGAAUUUCGGUCAAGGAUGAGCUCGCGGCCUAUCAGCUUGUUGGUGAGGUAACGGGUCACCAAGGCGACGACGGGUAACCGGCCUGAGAGGGUAGACGGUAACACGUAGACUGGGAACCGGCACAGACUCCAACGGGAGGCAGCAGGGGGGAAGAUUGCCCUAUGGGCGCAAGCCUGAUGCAGCAACGCCGCGUGAGGGAUGAAGGCCUUCGGGUUGUAAACCUCUUUUAGCAGGGAAGAAGCGAAAGUGACGGUACCUGCAGAAAAAGCACCGGCUAACUACGUGCCAGCAGCCGCCGUAA